rnacentral:rRNA from 1 species
AACGGAAACGAUGUUAGCUUGCUAACAGGCGUCGAGUGGCGGACGGGUGAGUAACGCGUAGGAAUCUACCAAAUAGCGGGGGAUAGCCCGGAGAAAUCCGGAUUAAUACCGCAUAAUCUCUACGGUAGUUAAAGGGGGGCCUUCUAGUUUUAUAAGCUUUCACUAUUUGAUGAGCCUGUGUAAGAUUAGCUUGUUGGUGAGGUAAAAGCUCACCAAGGCGACGAUCUUUAGCUGGUCUGAGAGGAUGAUCAGCCACACUGGGACUGAGGCACGGCCCAGACUCC